UUCGGGGUCUUCAAUUCCAACUCCUUCGUCAAACGUGGUUUCUAUCGUCGUAAUACAUAAAGAAGUAAUAAGUUGCUCACUCAAAAACAUAUCAAAAACUCACUUUAAAAAUGUUGCCUAAUUCUGAUAAAUCUAUACUAUCAUUUUAAAAAUAUAUGUCUCUGGUUUUGGUGAAAGGAUUAUUUUAAAAAUCAUUUUAACACGAGCAAAAAUAUUCCAAAUAGCCUUUUUAAUUAUUACAAAUAGAAAAGUUGUCUUAAAAAUUUG
rnacentral:lncRNA from 1 species